AUUAUUGAGGCGUAAAGCGCGCGCAGGCGGUUUCUUAAGUCUGAUGUGAAAGCCCCCGGCUCAACCGGGGAGGGUCAUUGGAAACUGGGUGAACUUGAGUGCAGAAAAGGAUAAUGGAAUUCCACGUGUAGCGGUGAAAUGCGUAGAGAUGUGGAGGAACACCAGUGGCGAAGGCGACUCUCUGGUCUGUAACUGACGCUGAGGCGCGAAAGCGUGGGGAGCGAACAGGAUUAGAUACCCUGGUAGUCCACGCCGUAAACGAUGAGUGCUAAGUGUUAGAGGGUUUCCGCCCUUUAGUGCUGCAGCAAACGCAUUAAGCACUCCGCCUGGGGAGUACGGUCGCAAGACUGAAACUCAAAGGAAUUGACGGGGGCCCGCACAAGCGGUGGAGCAUGUGGUUUAAUUCGAAGCAACGCGAAGAACCUUACCAGGUCUUGACAUCCUCUGACAACCCUAGAGAUAGGUCUUCUCCCUUCGGGGGCAGAGUGACAGGUGGUGCAUGGUUGUCGUCAGCUCGUGUCGUGAGAUGUUGGGUUAAGUCCCGCAACGAGCGCAACCCUUGAUCUUAGUUGCCAGCAUUCAGUUGGGCACUCUAAGGUGACUGCCGGUGACAAACCGGGAGGGAAGUGAGGGAUGACGUCCAAAUCAUCAUGCCCCCUAUUAACUUGGGGCUACACACGUGCCUACAAUUGGGGCAACACAAGGGGCAGCGCAGCCCGGCGAGCUCAUAGCCAAUACCAAAAAAUUGGUUUUCAGUUGGGAUGGCAGUCUGGAACACCGAUCGCGUUUAAGGCGGGAAUCGGCUAAAAACGCGGGAUAAGCUCAGCAUGCCGCGGUGAAUACGUUCCCGGGCCUUGUACACACCGCCCGUCACACCACGAGAGUUUGUAACACCCGAAGUCGGUGAGGUAACCUUUGGAGCCAGCCGCCGAAGGUGGACAG
rnacentral:rRNA from 1 species